UACAGAGGUCUCAAGCGUUGUUCGGAUUCAUUGGGCGUAAAGGGUGCGUAGGCGGCGCGGUAAGUCGGGUGUGAAAUCUUGGAGCUUAACUCCGAAACUGCAUUCGAUACUGCCGUGCUUGAGGACUGGAGAGGAGACUGGAAUUUACGGUGUAGCGGUGAAAUGCGUAAAUAUCGUAAGGAAGACCAGUGGCGAAGGCGGGUCUCUGGACAGUUCCUGACGCUGAGGCACGAAGGUCAGGGGAGCAAACGGG
rnacentral:rRNA from 1 species